rnacentral:rRNA from 1 species
AACCUUUACACUGCACGACAGUGCGAUAGGGGGACUCCGAGUGCGAGGGCAUAGAGCCCUCGCUUUUGUACACCGUAAGGUGGUGUACGAAUAAGAACUGGGCAAGACCGGUGCCAGCCGCCGCGGUAAUACCGGCAGUUCGAGUGAUGGCCGAUUUUAUUGGGCCUAAAGCGUUCGUAGCUGGCCGAUCAAGUCUGUCGGGAAAUCUGCUCGCCUAACGAGCAGGCGUCCGGCGGAAACUGAUCGGCUUGGGACCGGAAGACUCGAGGGGUACGUCCGGGGUAGGAGUGAAAUCCUGUAAUCCUGGACGGACCACCGAUGGCGAAAGCACCUCGAGAGCACGGAUCCGACAGUGAGGAACGAAAGCUGGGGUCUCGAACCGGAUUAGAUACCCGGGUAGUCCCAGCUGUCAACGAUGCCCGCUAGGUAUGGCGCAGGCUACGAGCUUGUGCUAUGCCGUAGCGAAGGCGCUAAGCGGGCCGCCUGGGAAGUACGUUCGCAAGAAUGAAACUUAA